AGCAGCCGCGGUAAUUCCAGCUCCAAUAGCGUAUAUUAAAGUUGUUGCAGUUAAAAAGCUCGUAGUUGAACUUCGGGGUUUACUCAUUGGUCAGGCUUAAUUGUCUGUACUGGUGAGAUAAAUCUCUACCUUCUGAGGAACUUUCAUGCCAUUUAUUUGGUGUGGUUGGAAAUCAGGACUGUUACUUUGAAAAAUUAGAGUGUUUAAAGCAGGCUAACGUCUGAAUACAUUAGCAUGGAAUAAUGAAAUAGGACGGAUUGAUUCUAUUUCGUUGGUUUCUAGGGUCACCGUAAUGAUUAAUAGGGAUAGUUGGGGGCAUUAGUAUUCAAUUGUCAGAGGUGAAAUUCUUGGAUUUAUUGAAGACUAACUACUGCGAAAGCAUUUGCCAAGGAUGUUUUCAUUAAUCAAGAACGAAAGUUAGGGGAUCGAAGACGAUCAGAUACCGUCGUAGUCUUAACCAUAAACUAUGCCGACUAGGGAUCGGACGCAGUUAAUU
rnacentral:misc_RNA from 1 species